rnacentral:lncRNA from 1 species
UAAAAUUCACAGCUUCUCACGAAGUUCCUCUUGCGGUGAUUUUCAAAAACCCUAGAUCCCCUUUCACAAAUCGUUCUUCACACCCGCUCUUUCGCUGAAUUUGGGUUCACCUUUAGAACACGCCGCAUAACGCAGACUUCCGAAUCACACCGCCGCUGUCAUCAUUUUGUUCUUCGAGUUCAAGACAUGCAAGGUUUGUCUUGUUGUGGUCAGAUUGGCUUUAGUAUCGAGUUUCAAAAUGCAUCUGGGACAUGAGAUUAUGCAGAGCUUUCCACGGUGGGUAAGCGUUUCGAUAUGGCCAGAUUUGGCAAAAAAAACGGGUUUUUAAAAUGUUUUUCAGAUUUAGUGCUUAAAAUCAAAUGUAACCGAAUAGAUCUAUCAAUUUAACUCAAAAACAAUAUGAAAAACGUGAUAUUUUGAUGUAUUGUGACAAUAUUUUAUGGUCAUCCAUGAAAGUAUUGC